rnacentral:rRNA from 1 species
UACGUAGGCAGCAAACGUUGUUCGGAGUUACUGGGCGUAAAGCGCGCGCAGGCGGCCCUUUAAGUCUACCCGUGAAAUGCCGGAGCUCAACUCCGUGCACGCCGGGGGAUACUGGAGGGCUGGAGACGAGUAGAGGCAAGCGGAAUUCCGGGUGUAGCGGUGGAAUGCGUAGAGAUCCGGAAGAACACCGGAGGCGAAGGCGGCUUGCUGGGCUUGGUCUGACGCUGAGGCGCGAAAGCGUGGGGAGCGAACAGG